AUUGAACGCUGGCGGCAGGCUUAACACAUGCAAGUCGAACGAGUGGCGGACAGGCGAGUAAUGCUUGGGAAUCCUGCUUAUGGAGGGGGAUAACUACGGGAAACGGUAGCUAAUACCGCGUACCAUAGGCUGAGCCCACGUGGGAUUAGGGAUGUGGUGAGGUAAAGGCGCACCAAGCCGACGAUCUCUAGCUGGUCUGAGAGGAUGACCAACCAAACUGGGACUGAUACACGGCCCGGACUCCUCCGCGAGGCAGCAUUGGGGAAUGUUGGGCAAGGGGGGCAACCUGACGCAGCAAUGCCGCGUGAAGUAAGAAGGCCGUCGGGUUGUAAAGUUCUUUCGGUAGCGAGGCGUUAACUACAGAAGAAGCACCGGCUAACUCCGUACCAGCAGCCGCGGUAAUUC
rnacentral:rRNA from 1 species